rnacentral:sRNA from 1 species
GUUGGGUGCAGUGAUGCAUGCCUGUAAUCCCAGUGACUCAGAAGGCUGAGACAGGAGGAUUGCAAGUUUGAGGCCAGCCUCAGCAAUUUAGUGAGACCCUGUCUCAA